rnacentral:rRNA from 1 species
UACAGAGGUCCCAAGCGUUGUUCGGAUUCACUGGGCGUAAAGGGUGCGCAGGUGGUCGGGUAAGUCUGACGUGAAAUCCCGCAGCUUAACUGCGGAAUGGCAUUGGAUACUAUUCGGCUAGAGGGUUGGAGGGGGGACUGGAAUUCCCGGUGUAGAGGUGAAAUUCGUAGAGAUCGGCAGGAACACCCAGGGGGAAACCAGCCGACUGGGCAUCUACUGACGCUGAGGUGCGAGAGCGUGGGGAGCGAACCGG